UGUGAGCUCGAUGAGUAGGGCGGGACACGUGGUAUCCUGUCUGAAUAUGGGGGGACCAUCCUCCAAGGCUAAAUACUCCUGACUGACCGAUAGUGAACCAGUACCGUGAGGGAAAGGCGAAAAGAACCCCGGCGAGGGGAGUGAAAAAGAACCUGAAACCGUGUACGUACAAGCAGUGGGAGCCUCUUUAUGGGGUGACUGCGUACCUUUUGUAUAAUGGGUCAGCGACUUAUAUUCUGUAGCAAGGUUAACCGAAUAGGGGAGCCGAAGGGAAACCGAGUCUUAACUGGGCGUUAAGUUGCAGGGUAUAGACCCGAAACCCGGUGAUCUAGCCAUGGGCAGGUUGAAGGUUGGGUAACACUAACUGGAGGACCGAACCGACUAAUGUUGAAAAAUUAGCGGAUGACUUGUGGCUGGGGGUGAAAGGCCAAUCAAACCGGGAGAUAGCUGGUUCUCCCCGAAAGCUAUUUAGGUAGCGCCUCGUGAAUUCAUCUCCGGGGGUAGAGCACUGUUUCGGCAAGGGGGUCAUCCCGACUUACCAACCCGAUGCAAACUGCGAAUACCGGAGAAUGUUAUCACGGGAGACACACGGCGGGUGCUAACGUCCGUCGUGAAGAGGGAAACAACCCAGACCGCCAGCUAAGGUCCCAAAGUCAUGGUUAAGUGGGAAACGAUGUGGGAAGGCCCAGACAGCCAGGAUGUUGGCUUAGAAGCAGCCAUCAUUUAAAGAAAGCGUAAUAGCUCACUGGUCGAGUCGGCCUGCGCGGAAGAUGUAACGGGGCUAAACCAUGCACCGAAGCUGCGGCAGCGACACUAUGUGUUGUUGGGUAGGGGAGCGUUCUGUAAGCCUGUGAAGGUGGCCUGUGAGGGAUGCUGGAGGUAUCAGAAGUGCGAAUGCUGACAUAAGUAACGAUAAAGCGGGUGAAAAGCCCGCUCGCCGGAAGACCAAGGGUUCCUGUCCAACGUUAAUCGGGGCAGGGUGAGUCGACCCCUAAGGCGAGGCCGAAAGGCGUAGUCGAUGGGAAACAGGUUAAUAUUCCUGUACUUGGUGUUACUGCGAAGGGGGGACGGAGAAGGCUAUGUUGGCCGGGCGACGGUUGUCCCGGUUUAAGCGUGUAGGCUGAUUUUCCAGGCAAAUCCGGAAAAUCNACUUGGUGUUACUGCGAAGGGGGGACGGAGAAGGCUAUGUUGGCCGGGCGACGGUUGUCCCGGUUUAAGCGUGUAGGCUGGUUUUCCAGGCAAAUCCGGAAAACUNAUUUUCCAGGCAAAUCCGGAAAAUCAAGGCUGAGGCGUGAUGACGAGGCACUACGGUGCUGAAGCAACAAAUGCCCUGCUUCCAGGAAAAGCCUCUAAGCAUCAGGUAACAUCAAAUCGUACCCCAAACCGACACAGGUGGUCAGGUAGAGAAUACCAAGGCGCUUGAGAGAACUCGGGUGAAGGAACUAGGCAAAAUGGUGCCGUAACUUCGGGAGAAGGCACGCUGAUAUGUAGGUGAAGCGACUUGCUCGUGGAGCUGAAAUCAGUCGAAGAUACCAGCUGGCUGCAACUGUUUAUUAAAAACACAGCACUGUGCAAACACGAAAGUGGACGUAUACGGUGUGACGCCUGCCCGGUGCCGGAAGGUUAAUUGAUGGGGUUAGCGGUAACGCGAAGCUCUUGAUCGAAGCCCCGGUAAACGGCGGCCGUAACUAUAACGGUCCUAAGGUAGCGAAAUUCCUUGUCGGGUAAGUUCCGACCUGCACGAAUGGCGUAAUGAUGGCCAGGCUGUCUCCACCCGAGACUCAGUGAAAUUGAACUCGCUGUGAAGAUGCAGUGUACCCGCGGCAAGACGGAAAGACCCCGUGAACCUUUACUAUAGCUUGACACUGAACAUUGAGCCUUGAUGUGUAGGAUAGGUGGGAGGCUUUGAAGUGUGGACGCCAGUCUGCAUGGAGCCGACCUUGAAAUACCACCCUUUAAUGUUUGAUGUUCUAACGUUGGCCCGUUAUCCGGGUUGCGGACAGUGUCUGGUGGGUAGUUUGACUGGGGCGGUCUCCUCCUAAAGAGUAACGGAGGAGCACGAAGGUUGGCUAAUCCUGGUCGGACAUCAGGAGGUUAGUGCAAUGGCAUAAGCCAGCUUGACUGCGAGCGUGACGGCGCGAGCAGGUGCGAAAGCAGGUCAUAGUGAUCCGGUGGUUCUGAAUGGAAGGGCCAUCGCUCAACGGAUAAAAGGUACUCCGGGGAUAACAGGCUGAUACCGCCCAAGAGUUCAUAUCGACGGCGGUGUUUGGCACCUCGAUGUCGGCUCAUCACAUCCUGGGGCUGAAGUAGGUCCCAAGGGUAUGGCUGUUCGCCAUUUAAAGUGGUACGCGAGCUGGGUUUAGAACGUCGUGAGACAGUUCGGUCCCUAUCUGCCGUGGGCGCUGGAGAACUGAGGGGGGCUGCUCCUAGUACGAGAGGACCGGAGUGGACGCAUCACUGGUGUUCGGGUUGUCAUGCCAAUGGCACUGCCCGGUAGCUAAAUGCGGAAGAGAUAAGUGCUGAAAGCAUCUAAGCACGAAACUUGCCCCGAGAUGAGUUCUCCCUGACUCCUUGA
rnacentral:rRNA from 1 species